GAACUCUGUCUUUGCUGAGAGGUGGCUGGUUUGUUUGUUUGAUAAGACUCCUGAAAGUGCUAAAGUAGAGGAAGCUUUCAGCUAAAGGAAAUGACUGUGAGAAGAGAGACUCUUUGGAGAGGAAGGGAGACUAUUCUGCCCUUGGAGCUAUUGAACAUGCUAUUGGGAAAGCAGCUUCCAGAGCAGAGCACAAGGGCAGACAGGCAGGGGAGCCCACCAACAGGAGGGUCAGUGGCACAGUGGAGACUGCUGAGAAGAAACAGGGAACGGACAACCUGCCAAAAGUGCAAGGUGGCAGAGAGACUUUUCCUGGUGCAUAGAGGGGACCGUACAGUCUGCGAAAACCCAGAAAAUGACCGAGUUGGAUUUAAACCAAGCCUAAGACGAUUUAUCCACCAAAAACACAAUACUCACUUGUGCUAAAAUGAGGUGGUCAGAGAGCACCCUGGGAAGCCUGGCAUUCUUCAAGGGGUUUCACCUGCAGCAAAACCUGACUCCUGGCAGAAACUCACGCUUGCAGGACUGAAACCACCGGUGGUGGGGCUUCAGCCUCUCCUCUGCCUUGUGUAACAUGUUCGUCCUGAGAGGCCUCUGUGGAAAAGCCCUUCUUGGCAUGGAGCCCACGCUAUCAGCAUCUGUCUUCCCAAAAGGUACAAAAUUGCUUCAGUGCUAUGGAAAAU